rnacentral:lncRNA from 1 species
AUGGGGAAGGUCCUGGAAGGUCACAGGACCACGGGGAUGAUUGGGGUGGGGUUGGGAAGGUCCUGGGAGGUCACAGAACCACGGGAUGAUUGGGUUGGGGUUGGGAAAGUCCUGGAAGGUCACAGGACCACGGGAUGGUUGGGUUGGGGUUGGGUUGGGAUGGGGAAGGUCCUGGAAGGUCACAGGACCACGGGGAUGAUUGGGGUGGGGUUGGGAAGGUCCUGGGAGGUCACAGAACCACGGGAUGAUUGGGUUGGGGUUGGGAAAGUCCUGGAAGGUCACAGGACCACGGGAUGGUUGGGUUGGGGUUGGGUUGGGAUGGGGAAGGUCCUGGAAGGUCACAGGACCACGGGGAUGAUUGGGGUGGGGUUGGGAAGGUCCUGGGAGGUCACAGAACCACGGGAUGAUUGGGUUGGGGUUGGGAAAGUCCUGGAAGGUCACAGGACCACGGGAUGGUUGGGUUGGGGUUGGGUUGGGAUGGGGAAGGUCCUGGAAGGUCACAGGACCACGGGGAUGAUUGGGGUGGGGUUGGGAAGGUCCUGGGAGGUCACAGAACCACGGGAUGAUUGGGUUGGGGUUGGGAAAGUCCUGGAAGGUCACAGGACCACGGGAUGGUUGGGUUGGGGUUGGGUUGGGAUGGGGAAGGUCCUGGAAGGUCACAGGACCACGGGGAUGAUUGGGGUGGGGUUGGGAAGGUCCUGGGAGGUCACAGAACCACGGGAUGAUUGGGUUGGGGUUGGGAAAGUCCUGGAAGGUCACAGGACCACGGGAUGGUUGGGUUGGGGUUGGGUUGGGAUGGGGAAGGUCCUGGAAGGUCACAGGACCACGGGGAUGAUUGGGGUGGGGUUGGGAAGGUCCUGGGAGGUCACAGAACCACGGGAUGAUUGGGUUGGGGUUGGGAAAGUCCUGGAAGGUCACAGGACCACGGGAUGGUUGGGUUGGGGUUGGGUUGGGAUGGGGAAGGUCCUGGAAGGUCACAGGACCACGGGGAUGAUUGGGGUGGGGUUGGGAAGGUCCUGGGAGGUCACAGAACCACGGGAUGAUUGGGUUGGGGUUGGGAAAGUCCUGGAAGGUCACAGGACCACGGGAUGGUUGGGUUGGGGUUGGGUUGGGAUGGGGAAGGUCCUGGAAGGUCACAGGACCACGGGGAUGAUUGGGGUGGGGUUGGGAAGGUCCUGGGAGGUCACAGAACCACGGGAUGAUUGGGUUGGGGUUGGGAAAGUCCUGGAAGGUCACAGGACCACGGGAUGGUUGGGUUGGGGUUGGGUUGGGAUGGGGAAGGUCCUGGAAGGUCACAGGACCACGGGGAUGAUUGGGGUGGGGUUGGGAAGGUCCUGGGAGGUCACAGAACCACGGGAUGAUUGGGUUGGGGUUGGGAAAGUCCUGGAAGGUCACAGGACCACGGGAUGA